GCCAGCUUAGCUCAGUUGGUAGAGCAACGGUAUCGUAAGCCGUGGGUCGGGUGUUCGAGUCGCCUAGCUGGCA
rnacentral:tRNA from 2 species